rnacentral:rRNA from 1 species
ACUCAAAGGAAUAGACGGGGGCCCGCACAAGCGGUGGAGCAUGUGGUUCAAUUCGACGCAACGCGAAGAACCUUACCUGGGCUCGAACGGCUGGUUAACGGCAGGGGAAACCCUGCUACUCCGCAAGGAGGUCCAGUCGAGGUGCUGCAUGGCUGUCGUCAGCUCGUGUCGUGAGAUGUUGGGUUAAGUCCCGCAACGAGCGCAACCCUUGUCCUGUGUUGCCAUACCGCAAGGUGGAACUCGCAGGAGACCGCCAGCGAUAAGCUGGAGGAAGGUGGGGAUGACGUCAAGUCCUCAUGGCCUUUAUGUCCAGGGCUACACACGUGCUACAAUGGCCGGUACAAAGCGCAGCUAAGUCGCAAGACGGAGCCAAUCGCAGAAAACCGGUCUCAGUUCGGAUUGCAGGCUGCAACUCGCCUGCAUGAAGCUGGAAUCGCUAGUAAUGGCGGAUCAGAACGCCGCCGUGAAUACGUUCCCGGGCCUUGCACACACCGCCCGU